rnacentral:lncRNA from 1 species
CUCAUCACUAACAUGCUUAUUAAUUAGAAGACACAUGGGACUACAGUAUUCGAUUGCUUGUCCCUCAGAUGUGGAGCGUCAAGGACUGCUUCCCAGUCAGUUUUUCCUGGGGAGUGCCAGCCACAUUCCAGGGCAGGCCUCAGGCCCACCAGUAUUUGGCCAAUACACACAAAAAAGGAGAACUCUGUGUUUAUGUUUUCGUGGAGUUUCUGUUUUACUUUGACAUCUUAUUGUUGUACUGAACUUUUGCUUGUUCUAGAUUUCAUCUUUGUGCUUUUGAGUGGUAUUUUUUAAGAGAAUUGAGGUGGGUAGGAAGAUGAAUGGUAGGGAGGUUCUGGGAGAAAUUAGGGAGGGGAAAUGAUCAAAAUAUACUGUAUGAAAAAAUUAAAGUGUGUAAAAAGCGAAAAGAAAAA